CCACGCCCAGCUAAUUUUUUGUAUUUUUAGUAGAGAUGGGGUUUCACCGUGUUAGCCAGGAUGGUCUGGAUCUCGUGAUCUGGUGAUCCGCCCGCCUCAGCCUCCAAAGUGCUGUACAGGCGUGAGCCACCACGCCGGGCCCAAAAAGCUUUUAAAAAGAAAAACACUCAGCUGAUGAAAGAAACCACCGCUCUAACCAUGACAAUGCUUGGUUGACCUUUUCCUUCCUUUCUAGCAGUUGAGAACAACAAGCAAUAACAACCAUACGAAGAAUCUAGCAAACUCAGACUUUACUUCUCCUUUUCGUGGUCCUGGAAACAGCUCAGAAUAAAGUGGAUCUGGACCUCUACAGAAGAGAGGGAGCUCCAGAUUCCAGUCCAUUACACACAUGAAGUAUGCUUGCGGCCCACACCACUGCGCAAUUCUUCAAGACUAUGUUGUAUAUUCU
rnacentral:lncRNA from 1 species